rnacentral:rRNA from 1 species
GUGCCAGCAGCCGCGGUAAUACGUAGGGUGCAAGCGUUAAUCGGAAUUACUGGGCGUAAAGCGUGCGCAGGCGGUUUUGUAAGACAGUGGUGAAAUCCCCGGGCUCAACCUGGGAACUGCCAUUGUGACUGCAAGGCUAGAGUGCGGCAGAGGGGGGUGGAAUUCCGCGUGUAGCAGUGAAAUGCGUAGAUAUGCGGAGGAACACCGAUGGCGAAGGCAAUCCCCUGGGCCUGCACUGACGCUCAUGCACGAAAGCGUGGGGAGCAAACAGGAUUAGA